GAAAAGGAAUUUGCAAAUUCUAUGCAAAAGCAGCCAAGCUAGAAAUACAGCUGAUUUGACGAAAUGUUUCAAUUUGGCUAUUUUCGUCUAAAAUAUGGAUUUCCCUGGAGAAUUCCCAACAACUGAUUUAAUACUGACUAAAUACCUUUUACGACCUGGCUAGUAGCAUGCUAGUAACAUUUUAAGAGCUAUAUAUACAACGAGUAUUACCUUGACAUAAUUAAUGCUUAGAUAGUAUAAUUCUCUUGUAAGGAGUUACACAAUAUAAUAUUUUAUUUAAAUAGUCUAAUGUUUUAAAGUGUCCAUGUUCAAGAACCUAUUCCAGGAUAUCCAACUCAAGUUUCAGUGUCCAACGUAGAUUUGGGAGAAUACAUCCAUUACCCCUGCAUAAUCAACUCUAAGAACCCAUGCCUACAAUGUCUGCUACAACUUUUUUUCCAGUGCAGAAUUAGUUUUGUAGGGAUAUGAUUGUAUCUGUAACACACGUAUGGGCAAAUAUAAAAACCAUUUGUGGGCAAUAUAUUUGAAUAAAUAUGUUUGGCUCCAUUCAAUUUGUUUAUUGUUAUUGUACCAAUGUUGUACUUUGUACUUUAUCAGUGCCUUGAAUUUAUAGAUAACGUCUAUAGUACACACAUAGUUACAUAGGCUAAAAAGAGGCAUGUGUCCAUCAAGUUCAGCCUUCUUCACAUCAGUUUUUUUGCUGUUGAUCCAAAAGAAGGAAAAAAAACACUUCCAAUUUAGCAACAAACUAGUAAAAAAAAA